UACGGGAGGCAGCAGUGGGGAAUAUUGCACAAUGGGCGCAAGCCUGAUGCAGCCAUGCCGCGUGUAUGAAAAAGGCCUUCGGGUUGUAAAGUACUUUCAGUCGUGAGGAAGGUGUUAAGGUUAAUAACCUUAGCAAUUGACGUUAGCGACAGAAGAAGCACCGGCUAACUCCGUGCCAGCAGCCGCGGUAAUACGGAGGGUGCGAGCGUUAAUCGGAAUUACUGGGCGUAAAGGGCACGCAGGCGGUUAAUUAAGUUGGAUGUGAAAUCCCCGGGCUUAACCUGGGAAUGGCAUUCAAGACUGGUUAGCUAGAGUCUUGUAGAGGGGGUAGAAUUCCAUGUGUAGCGGUGAAAUGCGUAGAGAUGUGGAGGAAUACCGGUGGCGAAGGUGGCCCCUGGACAAAGACUGACGCUCAUGUGCGAAAGCGUGGGGAGCAAACAGGGAUUAGAUACC
rnacentral:rRNA from 1 species